rnacentral:misc_RNA from 1 species
GAUGAAGAACGCAGCGAAAUGCGAUACUUGGUGUGAAUUGCAGAAUCCCGUGAACCAUCGAGUCUUUGAACGCAAGUUGCGCCCGAAGCCAUUAGGCCGAGGGCACGCCUGCCUGGGCGUCACACGUCGUUGCCCCCCCAUCUACUCCUUCGGGAUUGCGGGGGGCGGAUGAUGGCCUCUCGUGCGCCUCGUCGCGCGGUUGGCCUAAAUGCCAAGCCCUCGGCGACGCACGCCACGACAAUCGGUGGUUGCGAAACCUCGGUUGCCUGUCGUGUGCGGUCGUCGCGCAUCGAGGGCUCGAAAAAAUUGCCGGGCUUCGGCUCGACUUUCAACGCGACCCCAGGUCAGGCGGGGUUACCCGCUGAAUUUAAGCAUAUCAAUAAGCGGAGGA